GAAGCUGCUGCAGCUCUAAAGUGGCCAUAUUGUAAGAGAUAUGUGUUUGCUAUAUCUUCCCAGCAAGAUGGGUUGCUGCAGAAGACAGGAUUCUGGUUAUUAGUAGAACUCACAAGAAGCAGCAUAUGGCCCUUUCUUGUCAGCAGCAGCUCUUGUUUGAAAGAGGCUGAAGACCAAUCCUACCAGCCGCUGCUCUUUGGAAGGAAGGUGCUUUCCCAGCCACCACCAUUGGGAGAAAGCUCCUGACCUGAGGUGGGAUCCAGAGGAGUGGAUAAAAUUCUGUGAACUCAGAAGUGGCUGAUGACCUUCCUGUUGCAGAGUGAACUCUUGAUGCAUUUGUUCAUUGAAGCUGCCAGCAAAGCUUCCAGGAGACUGUAUGUGCUCUGUCUGCAUGUUCUUCAGGUACUGCUUUUUUAAACACUUGUGUAUGCUGGUUAUUGUAUCACCCUGUACAGCUCAAAGAA